rnacentral:piRNA from 1 species
AAAGACAUUUACCACCAAAUGGCAGGUCC